GUUCAGAAAAAGCAGGAGCACAUAUCCUAAAUUGGAACAACACAGAGAAGAUUAACACGGUCCCUGCACUAAAAUGACAUGCAAAAGCAUAAAGCAUUCUACACUUUU
rnacentral:snRNA from 1 species